rnacentral:rRNA from 1 species
UACGGAAGGCAGCAGUGGGGAAUAUUGCACAAUGGGCGAAAGCCUGAUGCAGCUAUGCCGCGUGUAUGAAGAAGGCCUUAGGGUUGUAAAGUACUUUCAUCGGGGAGGAAAAAACAAAACUAAUAAUUUUAUUUCUUGACGUUACCCGAAAAAGAAGCACCGGCUAACUCCGUGCCAGCAGCCGCGGUAAUACGGAGGGUGCUAGCGUUAAUCAGAAUUACUGGGCGUAAAGAGCACGUAGGUGGUUUUUUUAAAGUCAGAUGUGAAAUCCCUGGGCUUAACCUAGGAACUGCAUUUUGAAACUGAAAUACUAGAGUAUCGUAGAGGGAGGUAGAAAUUCUAGGUGUAGCGGUGAAAAUGCGUAGAUAUCUGGAGGAAUACCUGUGGCGAAAGCGGCCUCCUAAACGAAUACUGACACUGAGGUGCGAAAAGCGUGGGGAAGCAAAACAGGGAUUAGAUACC